rnacentral:rRNA from 1 species
GUCCACGCUGUAAACGAUGGGUGCUAGGUGUCGUGGGUAUUGACCCCUGCGGUGCCGAAGUUAACGCAUUAAGCACCCCGCCUGGGGAGUACGGCCGCAAGGCUAAAACUCAAAGGAAUUGACGGGGGCCCGCACAAGCGGUGGAGUAUGUGGUUUAAUUCGACGCAACGCGAAGAACCUUACCUGGGUUAAAUCCUCUGGAAUCCCCCUAGAGAUAGGGGAGUGCCCGCAAGGGAGCCGGAUGGAAGGUGCUGCAUGGCUGUCGU